rnacentral:rRNA from 1 species
GUACGGGGGGGGCAAGCGUUGUUCGGAAUUACUGGGGCGUAAAGGGCUCGUAGGUGGUCAACUAAGUCAUACGUGAAAUCCCCUCGGCUUAACCCGGGGGAACUGCGCCUGAUACUGGUUGACUUGAGUUUGGGGAGAGGGACGCGGAAUUCCAGGUGUAGCGGUGAAAUGCGUAGAUAUCUGGAGGAACACCGGUGGCGAAGGCGGCAUCCUGGACCGGCAUUGACGCUGAGGAGCGAAAGCCAGGGGGAGCAAACGGG